rnacentral:rRNA from 1 species
GGACGAACGCUGGCGGCGUGCAUAACACAUGCAAGUCACGGGGGGCCAGCAAUGGCAACCGGCGAACGGGUGCGUAACACGUAAGCGACCUACCUCGAUGUGGGGCAUAGCCGGCCUAACGGCCGGGUAAUUCCGCAUGUGAUCCUUGAGGGGCAUAUCUCGGGGAUGAAACCAGUAAUGGGCAUUGAGAGGGGCUUGCGGCCUAUCAGCUUGUUGGCGGGGUAACGGCUCACCAAGGCGACGACGGGUAGCUGGUCUGAGAGGAUGGCCAGCCACAUUGGGACUGAGAAACGGCCCAGACUCCUACGGGAGGCAGCAGUGGGGAAUCUUGCGCAAUGGCCUAACGGCUGACGCAGCGACGCCGCGUGAGGGAUGAAGCU